GUGAAGUCAAUACCUAGAAUGGGGAGGAGGGACAAGCUGUGGAGACAGCUGCAGCUGUGAUGACGAGCAGUGGAGACCUGGAGAAGCUGACCGCUGAGAACAGGCUAGGAGAAGCAGGUGCAGCAAGCCGUGUCGAUCCUGAAUGGGGUCUUUCCGACAGAAGGAGCAGCAAGUGCCAGUGUUCUGAGGCAGGAGCAGGUCUGGUGUGCUUGAGGAACCACAGGAAGGCUUUUCCUGACAGGCAUAUCCAAGAAUUUGCUGGCAUGUUUUAUAAUCACACAGAAGCCUGUGACAGUCUGAGGGCUUCCUGACAUCACAUGUCAAUGGAAAAACUCCCCUGGUGUCUGCAAUGGCCGGCACUUCAUGUGGGGCACGUGGAGAGAUGAAGUGAUGUGAAGGCGAGCAGUGACAUUUUCGGAACUUAGACACUGUGUGGUCACCAGGAAAACACCCAGGCCUGGAUACAUUUUUUUUGUGUGGCUCAGGAUGGAACAUUGAAUUCAGAGUAGACUGUAAAAGGGUAAUCCCACAGGAUUACAAAAUAGUGUUAAGAAGGCAAGAAACAGUCAAAGAGAUUGAACAGCAGACAAAAAAGUGUCCUUGACUUUGGUGUGCCUCUGAUUUGUGCAGCAGCAGAAGAUCCUGUAUUUGAAAGACAGUAGUGUUCUAGUCUAGGGUAGCCAGUUGCCUCUAUGACUUUUGAAACCAAUAGUGGAUCAAGUCAUGGCAAAACCAGAGCUCUGUUGUACUUACCGCAGUGUGAAUGGCAUGUGGGGUUCCAUGGGCAGAAAUUGGACUGUGGAUAAUUGUUUUGUUAGAGGGGAAUUGGGAGGCUUAGUAAAUUCAAAUGUACUUCAAGCAGUAUUCAAAAACCUCAUCUAAGGACCCUGACUGUACCAUGGGAUGUUUGGCUGAUGCCAGCUAAUUAGGAAAGCCCAUUCUGGGCCUAGCUUGAGCGAGCCCAGGGAAGGAUAGUGUUGUUGCCAUAGCUGUGCUCUGGGGCUUCAUGUAUAACUUGUGGUCUCCUUAAGCUUGACUGAGUUUAUUCUAUGCACAUACUUAUGCCAAAGGCCCCCAUGUCCCAACGUGCGAAGCAAUUGCCAAAAGGUAGUAGCUCUAACAGCUAGGGUUCUUAUCCAUUGCAGCUAAGCAAUUAAAGAGGACCCUAAGUUUUACCAGGAGCAAUUCCUUGGACCGUUUGGCGCUGGUCUGCAGAUGGGUCCAGGCUUCACCAUGCAGGGUUUCCUCAGGCUAGCAAAGCCUCACGGAUGCUGGGGAUUUUACACUUUGGGCUCCAGUAUUACCCGCUGACUUCUAGGUUGGGAAGAUUCCUGUGAGGCCAGAACCCCGGGCAAGCAUUUCUUAGCAUGUGAUUGGUGGGGAGUAGUUGGCAAAUGUUGCACGUAUUAUGCAAAAACAAUAAGCAAACAAAAUGGAGAGAAAAAGUAAGCAAAUAAAUUUGGAAAUCGGGGGCUCAGUAAAAGUCGUUUGUUGAUUUUUUAAAAAUACCAAGUUUUCCCUGAGCCAUUAAUGUGCCCUGAUGCAUUGUGAAUGUCCAAAGGGGUCUGUAGCAUUUUCCACGCCUUACCUUAUCAUCCGAACCAUUUCCCGUGAUCCCCUUGGUGACUUUGUGGUCCAGUGGCGAUGCUGGGACACGCUUAGACCAGAGUUCCGGGCUGUGGCUCACAGACAGCAAGGAGGUGUGUACAGCCGAGCCCCUCUCAGCAGUCUGGCUUCCGGCUGCUUCGGUUUCCCACAGUCCUGGGCAAGCAGCUGCUGCUCCUCCUGACGCAGCGCCAGAAGUCACUAGAUGCCUAUGCUACGUCAGAGCGCAGGCGUCCCUCACCUCAGGCGGAUUCGAUGCAGGGGGACUUUGUCAUCGCGCCUUGUCACAAGAGGGAGGGUGAGGGUGAGUGCAGCACAAGACACAGUACUUUGAGAGAGGAGAGAGUCCACGUUCACACCGCUUUCGUGACAGGGUUAUGCUUGUUCUACCCUAUUGGUUAUUGUUACCCUCUUCCUGCGCCUGGUUUAUACUUUACGCUCAUCACAGGUGUAGGUGAGCAGCGAAACAGUAUCUCCAGGGCCUGGAGCUCUCUGCGGUUUCAGGCGUCCAUCGGGGCUCAUCCCCAGUGGGAAGGAGGGACUCCUGCACAGACCCUGAGAGUAAGUUUUUAGAAACUUUUGCAGCAAUUGGACAGAGUAGGAUUUCUUUAUUGUCUGUUGAGCCUAAUAACAAAGUCAUGAGGCUUAUAUUUUUGUAUUUGUUUUAUUAAUUUCAUGUUCGUUUAGGGUACUUUACAAAAAUAUUCCUCUGCAACACACUAAAACUUAAAAAACGUGCUUCCCUCAUAAUCUGCAGCGUCCUACCAACAUGACUCCCAUCAGACCUUCCUAGCAACAGGCCAAGAGCACAGACGUAUCCAAGAUGGACUCGGGAUGACUUUCCAGCAUCUCCCCGCGGUGCAGACGCCCUGCCUGUGGGCAUCUCCUCCCCCAACUGUCGUUUGUGGUCUGCGCCGACUCUCAGACCGCUGCCUCCAGGAAUAGUUCUGAUUCUGCCGUGUACUGCGUAUGGAAUACAAAUACGGAGCUUCUCAGCCUUUAAUAUCUACAUUGGACAACAGACUCAACAAGAAGUGUGUUUCAACUUUAAAAACUGAAAGAAACAAAAGGCCUAAAUCAACAUCACCAGUACCCACACAUGGAACUUCACUGCCUGCGCUGGAAGCUACACUCUCUGUAUGAUGCUGAUGCAAAGCGCUGGUGCACGUGCAGACAUGCCCUCUGCUUGCAUCUCAGGCAGAGACCACCCACCUCCCCACGUCAGAGUUUAUCACAUAGCCAUGUUGAGGAAGUGGCAGUCACUGGGGUGCCCAAGAGAGUGCGCGUGAGGAAGAGGCAGAGGGGAGCAAGGUGUGCUGGCAGGCCUUCCCACGGGGCAGUGUGGAAGGGGAGAGCAGCUUCCUCCGUUCGCACAGCAGUCCUGCCACUAGUAAGCCAGGCCGCUGAUGUCCUGGCUUUGGGAUGGGCUGGUCUGUUAACAUCUUCUUUGACAUCAAAUUCAGUGACUUUCUUUGGAUAUCAGUUGUCACUCAUUAUCAGUUAAUGACAAAAAUCUCUGGCUCGGAUUGGAGAAUUCCACAAUCUCAUCCACCCAGCUUAGGUUUUUGCUGCAAAGGAGAAGUGGUAGAGAGUGGAAAUGGGUAGAAACCCUCCUUCUGCUCUAGAUUCCUUCAGAGGCAGCAGAAUUAAUAGGAAGUGUGCCAAGCAUGGUGUGUCUUGCUUAGAAUUAUGUUAAGCUGCAAGUAACAGAAAGUCAACUUAAAUGGCUUGAACACAUGCAGGUUUAUUUUUCUCACAUAACCAGAUGUUCAGAAGUAGGCAUUUGCUGCCACUAGGUCUGCUAAUCCAUGAUGCUCAGCCAAGCUCUGUCUUUGUUUUGUGGUUGCAAGACAGCUGAGAUGGCUCCAGACAUCAAGUUUGUGGUCAGAGCAGAAAGAAGGGAGAAGAGGAGCUGACCCAGCCAUGUCUAUCCCUUUAAUAAAAAAAGUUAAAGUUUGCAGAUGUUUGCUUAACCUCCUUUCAUUUAGGUCUCAAUGACCAGAAGUGGGUCAUAUAUUUAAGACAUCUCUAGUUGCAAGAGAAGUUGGGAAAUUGAGAAACAGGAUUGUUAUGAUUCAUUAUCUGGUGCUGGGCAUGUGGCCACAGUGGAUAAAUUGGAAGAAAGGGAGAAUGGAUGUUGUAGAGGCAACUAACAGGUGGUUUUGUCUGAAGUUAUUUUUGUGAGCCACAUCUCCAUGCAGAAUAUAUUUUUUUCUUUUCUUUUCUUUUCUUUUGGUAUCAUUAAUAUACAAUUAC